rnacentral:tRNA from 1 species
UGUCCGGUAGUUCAACUGGCAGAACGCCUGACUUUGGAUCAGGAGGUUGGAGGUUCGAGCCCUCCCCGGGCAGCCA